GAUGAACGCUGGCGGCGUGCCUAAUACAUGCAAGUCGAGCGAACAGACGAGGAGCUUGCUCCUCUGACGUUAGCGGCGGACGGGUGAGUAACACGUGGAUAGCCUACCUAUAAGACUGGGAUAACUUCGGGAAACCGGAGCUAAUACCGGAUAAUAUAUUGAACCGCAUGGUUCAAUAGUGAAAGACGGUUUUGCUGUCACUUAUAGAUGGAUCCGCGCCGCAUUAGCUAGUUGGUAAGGUAACGGCUUACCAAGGCGACGAUGCGUAGCCGACCUGAGAGGGUGAUCGGCCACACUGGAACUGAGACACGGUCCAGACUCCUACGGGAGGCAGCAGUAGGGAAUCUUCCGCAAUGGGCGAAAGCCUGACGGAGCAACGCCGCGUGAGUGAUGAAGGUCUUCGGAUCGUAAAACUCUGCUAUUAGGGAAGAACAAAUGUGUAAGUAACUAUGCACGUCUUGACGGUACCUAAUCAGAAAGCCACGGCUAACUACGUG
rnacentral:rRNA from 1 species